rnacentral:lncRNA from 1 species
UACCGACCAAACAAAAUCUUUAUCAGUACUGGUAUUCAUUUUUACGACAUUCACCAUUACAGUAUCCAAUUUAUAUAUUUUAUCAUUUUACCGGUCCGGUACGAAAUUAAAAGUUAGACUAAAUCAAAGUCAACGUCAAAGUCAAAACUAAAGAAUCAAGAAACACAAACCUAUAGAGAUACAAGGUCUUGGCUGGUGGGUGGAGGAGAAUUUGGCAGAUCCGGCGACGGCAGAAGCAGCGGUGGUGGGUGGUUUCUGGCGGCGGAAGGCGAGAAGGAUGACGGUGCCGGAGACGGCAGCCAUCGCCGUCGCUAACACCAUCCCAUUUGAAGCAAAAAUUGAAGAUGACGUCAUCAAAUUGUGUCAAAUUGUUGAGUGAUUUUAAAUUGAUUGAAGUUUUUGGAUGUUUGAAGUGAAGAAAGAAGUUGGGUUUCGAUGGAUCUUGUAAAUGUGUGUGGAGUUUUUAAAUAAAAAGGGGGAAAAUGUGGUUGGUUGAAGACUUGAAGCAUCAUGUUUCUUUUUCAUUAUAUAUUUUUUUAUUGUUAAAGUUCAAUUAUUUUGUUUUAGUUUAUUAAUUUGUUAUUAACUAAAUGUAACGGACAACCUUUAUCCAACUGCUUAUU